GCUAGCUACAGGCUUAACACAUGCAAGUCGAGGGCCAGCAUGGUCUUAGCUUGCUAAGGCCGAUGGCGACCGGCGCACGGGUGAGUAACACGUAUCCAACCUGCCGUCUACUCUUGGACAGCCUUCUGAAAGGAAGAUUAAUACAAGAUGGCAUCAUGAGUCCGCAUGUUCACAUGAUUAAAGGUAUUCCGGUAGACGAUGGGGAUGCGUUCCAUUAGAUAGUAGGCGGGGUAACGGCCCACCUAGUCUUCGAUGGAUAGGGGUUCUGAGAGGAAGGUCCCCCACAUUGGAACUGAGACACGGUCCAAACUCCUACGGGAGGCAGCAGUGAGGAAUAUUGGUCAAUGGGCGAGAGCCUGAACCAGCCAAGUAGCGUGAAGGAUGACUGCCCUAUGGGUUGUAAACUUCUUUUAUAAAGGAAUAAAGUCGGGUAUGGAUACCCGUUUGCAUGUACUUUAUGAAUAAGGAUCGGCUAACUCCGUGCCAGCAGCCGCGGUAAUACGGAGGAUCCGAGCGUUAUCCGGAUUUAUUGGGUUUAAAGGGAGCGUAGAUGGAUGUUUAAGUCAGUUGUGAAAGUUUGCGGCUCAACCGUAAAAUUGCAGUUGAUACUGGAUAUCUUGAGUGCAGUUGAGGCAGGCGGAAUUCGUGGUGUAGCGGUGAAAUGCUUAGAUAUCACGAAGAACUCCGAUUGCGAAGGCAGCCUGCUAAGCUGCAACUGACAUUGAGGCUCGAAAGUGUGGGUAUCAAACAGGAUUAGAUACCCUGGUAGUCCACACGGUAAACGAUGAAUACUCGCUGUUUGCGAUAUACAGCAAGCGGCCAAGCGAAAGCGUUAAGUAUUCCACCUGGGGAGUACGCCGGCAACGGUGAAACUCAAAGGAAUUGACGGGGGCCCGCACAAGCGGAGGAACAUGUGGUUUAAUUCGAUGAUACGCGAGGAACCUUACCCGGGCUUAAAUUGCAGAUGAAUUACGGUGAAAGCCGUAAGCCGCAAGGCAUCUGUGAAGGUGCUGCAUGGUUGUCGUCAGCUCGUGCCGUGAGGUGUCGGCUUAAGUGCCAUAACGAGCGCAACCCUUGUUGUCAGUUACUAACAGGUUCCGCUGAGGACUCCGACAAGACUGCCAUCGUAAGAUGUGAGGAAGGUGGGGAUGACGUCAAAUCAGCACGGCCCUUACGUCCGGGGCUACACACGUGUUACAAUGGGGGGUACAGAGGGCCGCUACCACGCGAGUGGAUGCCAAUCCCAAAAACCUCUCUCAGUUCGGACUGGAGUCUGCAACCCGACUCCACGAAGCUGGAUUCGCUAGUAAUCGCGCAUCAGCCACGGCGCGGUGAAUACGUUCCCGGGCCUUGUACACACCGCCC
rnacentral:rRNA from 1 species